GUAAUCGAGCAAGAAAUUGUUAGGAAAGUCCAUACUAGCACAGGCUGCGAUGCCUGUAGUGUUUGUGCUUAAUUAAUAAAUAAGUUAAGGCAGUUUAUAAAAUUGACGGCGAAAGAUAACCUAAUGGAAACAAUGGUUUAUUUCAUAAAGUGCCACAGAGACGAGUUUCUUGGAAACAAGAAAGUGGAACGGGUAAACCCCUCAAGCUAGCAACCCAAAUUUUGGUAGGGGCACGACUCAAAGGAAAUUGAACUGAUGAGUUGCUUUUAAAAACUAGUAAUACUUAGUUUUUAAUUGAGAUAAAUGAUUACCACCUUCGGGUACAGAAUAUGGCUUAUA
rnacentral:RNase_P_RNA from 2 species